CAAAAAUUUCUGCAAAUGGGUUCAACUCUAAUGGAAGUCAAAUCAAUGGCUGCAGUUUAUACCAAGCAAGAUUAUGUCAAGUUGUCCCCACAGCAGAUGGUGUCUGACUGAACACAGUUCUGAAAAAAUGGCCAAGGAAGAUAUAAUUAUUUGGGUUGAAGCAGCAGCCAAGUCAACCCUAAAUGACACCAAAGGACAAAUCAACGUGGAACUUGAAAUUGAGCUUCAGGGAACUGAAGCCAGACAGGCUUACGCAGACAUUUUUCUAGUCUUAACGUUAGACACAACACUUUGUGACUGGAGUUUUCAUUUGUGUGGUGGCAUCAUCUUCCCCUUGCCUAAAGCUGACAUUGUCAUCUUCAGCGAAGAGAAUUUCGAGUUGAAUAAAGACCAACGACUCCACACUGAACUGGCUGGAAUGGAAAAUGAGUGAUGAAUAUCAUCUUGCCAUUUUAACACUUGAACCAUGAACAUCUGGAAUUGGAACUGAAACCUUAACCUGACCCUGGAAAAAAAAGCUGUUGAUGAAUUCACCAAACUUCUCGUCAAAUCCUACCUAAAAACUACUUUACCGUCCAUCAAGAAAACGCAAUUAAAAUAGCUGCCGUUUGGAUAAGGAAACCGUGGCCCUGCGGUUUCUUGUCAUCGAGGAAUCCUCGGUCACGUCGGUCUGUAUUCUUUAACGACAAGCACUGCCACAAGAGUUAAUCCCAGGCCCGCCAACUCAUCUACUUGGCGAGUAAAGACUACAGAUACAAGGUGCUGAUGGACCAAUGGAGUGAAGAAUGUGAUCGACUAGCUGUAACAGCAUCCGACGGAUCAAUUUUACCAGUUUCCUAGACCAGAUACAAAUUUGUAACUGUGCACCACCUUCAUCUUUUGUCAUCAGUAAUUGCACAGCUUAGGUCGACUGAUUCCCGUGCGUUCAGGGGUAUCCCAACCAUCAACAACGGAGUACGUCCUGUGGCACCUCUUCGGUUCUCCUUCGAGACGGGGACGAGACUACUGGAUUUGCAGAGAUUACAGAUUUUCCCGCCAUCAGAGCUUCCGCUGUAAGCAGCAUUGGACGUAUUGAAACGACCCACCCAUCCGUUAUUGCCAUUACUGGAACCGUGAAGUAUGACAGAAGGUGGUCCACUUGGUCGGAUGCCAU